rnacentral:rRNA from 1 species
AUGUUUCCCGAAGCGACACUUUGUUUCACUCCUUUCAUUUAUACUCUAAGCGCGAUUGCUAUAAUAUAUACUUCCUUGACAACUUUAAGACAGAUCGAUCUUAAGAAGAUCAUUGCCUACUCCUCAGUAGCCCAUAUGAAUUUGGUGACUAUUGGUAUGUUUAGUCGGGCGGCGGCCGUUAGGUCACCUAUUUUGAGUUAUGGACACACAAGCAAGGCCAAAACAUGUGUGCCGGGCGUGCGACCCAUCAACCUACUAGCAAUAGGGGAGAAAACUUAG